rnacentral:ncRNA from 25 species
UUUACUUAUGGGGUGCUUUAGACAGCAGAACACAUGUUUUGUUGUUAUGAAACAGGCUGAGAUUAUACCCAAUAUUACAGACGGACAAUUCCUCGUCCGUCUGUAAUAUAUACCUGAUCCGGAUAAUGCCGGCGUAGGGAUUUAAUUUCGUUUAUAU